UCGCACCUGCCAAUUGAAUGGUCCGGUGAAGCCUCGGGAUUGUGACUAGUUCCCUUCAUUGGGGAUUGGUCGCGAGAACUUGUCUAAACCUCAUCAUUUAGAGGAAGGUG
rnacentral:rRNA from 1 species